rnacentral:rRNA from 1 species
UACGAAGGGGGCUAGCGUUGCUCGGAAUUACUGGGCGUAAAGCGCACGUAGGCGGGUUCUUAAGUCGGUGGUGAAAUCCUGGAGCUCAACUCCAGAACUGCCUUCGAAACUGGGAAUCUUGAGUCCGGGAGAGGUGAGUGGAACUGCGAGUGUAGAGGUGAAAUUCGUAGAUAUUCGCAAGAACACCAGUGGCGAAGGCGGCUCACUGGCCCGGUACUGACGCUGAGGUGCGAAAGCGUGGGGAGCAACAGG